CGGGUUCUCUACCUCCUGGAUCCUGCGCUCCGGGUACGCUACCUAGUGGAACUUGACUUUCAAGACAAGCGCUCCGUGGUUCCUGCGCUCCAGGUUCGCUACCUGGUGGAGUUCGACUUCCAGGACAAGCGCUCCGGGGUUCCUGUUUCAUGUUUACCAUAGAUUAUUUCAAUUCAUUUUUCGCGCAAGCCCAAAUUCAGUAGCUGUCAGUGCGUUAAUAAAAUUUCUACAAUUUUUCAUAAUUUUCUCAUAAUCUUCUUGGUAAAAU